ACCCACUCCCGGCACGGGGAGGUAGUGACGAAAAAUAACGAUACGGGACUCAUCCGAGGCCCCGUAAUCGGAAUGAGAACACUUUAAACCCUUUAACGAGUAUCCAUUGGAGGGCAAGUCUGGUGCCAGCAGCCGCGGUAAUUCCAGCUCCAAUAGCGUAUAUUAAAGUUGUUGCGGUUAAAAAGCUCGUAGUUGGAUGUGUGUCCCACGCUGUCGGUUCACCGUUCGUCGGUGUUUAACUGGCAUGCCCGUGUGGACGUCCUGCCGGUGGAUGCGGUCGGCCGUGGGCUUCGGUCUGCGCGUCGGCGGUCCGAUGCAAUCCCGCCGCGGUGCUCUUCACCGAGUGUCGAGGUGGGCCGGCACGUUUACUUUGAACAAAUUAGAGUGCUUAAAGCAGGCAGUGGUUCGCCUGAAUAUUGUGUGCAUGGAAUAAUGGAAUAGGACCUCGGUUCUAUUUUGUUGGUUUUCGGAACUUGAGGUAAUGAUUAAUAGGGACAAAUGGGGGCAUUCGUAUUGCGACGUUAGAGGUGAAAUUCUUGGAUCGUCGCAAGACGAACCUAAGCGAAAGCAUUUGCCAUAAGUGUUUUCAUUAAUCAAGAACGAAAGUUAGAGGUUCGAAGGCGAUCAGAUACCGCCCUAGUUCUAACCAUAAACGAUGCCAGCUAGCGAUCCGCCGAAGUUCCUCCGAUGACUCGGCGGGCAGCUUCCGGGAAACCAAAGCUUUUGGGUUCCGGGGGAAGUAUGGUUGCAAAGCUGAAACUUAAAGGAAUUGACGGAAGGGCACCACCAGGAGUGGAGCCUGCGGCUUAAUUUGACUCAACACGGGAAACCUCACCAGGCCCGGACACCGGAAGGAUUGACAGAUUGAGAGCUCUUCUUUGAUUCGGUGGAUGGUGGUGCAUGGCCGUUCUUAGUUGGUGGAGCGAUUGU
rnacentral:rRNA from 1 species